rnacentral:lncRNA from 1 species
UGGCGCAGUGGUUAACGAAUCCGACUAGGAACCAUGAGGUUGCGGGUUCGGUCCCUGCCCUUGCUCAGUGGGUUAACGAUCCGGCGUUGCCGUGAGCUGUGGUGUAGGAUCCUUAACCCACUGAAUGAGGCCAGGGAUUGAACCCACAACCUCAUGGAUAUUAGUCAGAAUCAUUUCCACUGCACCACAAAGGGAACUCCUGACAGUUUCUUUAUUCUCCCACUCCCAACACACACACACAUCUUUCUAUUGAUGACAAAAGCACUCCUCAGUCCCAGAGGCUGGCAUGAAUUUACAUCACACCAAUAUUUUUAGAAUCAUCACCUGCAAAGAUAAGCCUGCUUGUUUGUCUUGUCACAGUAGGAAGAUGACUGCCCCUGCAUGAGAUUUCCCACUCCCCUUUAUCUGGGCCUCUGUAACAGCAUGGACCUCCCUGCUUCCACCGUCAGAAUCCCUCAAGGGCAAGAGUCAAAUCUCAAGCAUCUUUGUACCCCAGUACUCUAUGUACUCUGGUGCCUAGUACAUAGUAGAUGCUCAAUGCAUGUUUAUUAAUGAAUGGAAUGGGUUAUCGAUAGGUAGAUGAGGGGAUAGAUAGAUGUUUGGGUGGAUGGAUGGAGAGAUGGAUGAAUAGAUAAUUGACUGGGCAGAUGAUGGAUGGUUGGAUGCUAGGUAGAUAGAUGAGCAGUUGGUGAUGAAUAAGUGGAUAAAUAAUUUAUCUUCCUUGCAGCCUUAGGACAAUAAUACCUACUCUCAUUAUCUCCUAAGUAAAGGCCAUGCUGAGAAAUAAUAAUAGUUGCAUAACGUAGCGGGGGGGAAAAAAACUUGGGGUCAACAGGUCCGGGUUCUACUCCUAAUUUCACCACAUAGUAGCUGUCUUGACUUGAACACAUCCCUAACUCCUCUGGGCCACCUUCUGUUCAGUCUAAAGUGACAGUGAUUCCCACCACACGAAUCUAGUGGUUGUUAUACAAGAUAAAAUACUAUAUAAAUAACAGUGCUUUGUCCCAGCAAGUGAUGCUGGUUAAAAUGAUGGGCGCUAUAAGCAGCUCUCACCUGGCCGUUGUCCAUAGGUGGGAAUAUAACAUGUCUCUCCAUUAAGCUUUGCAAUCCUGAACCCUAAUCCUCUGCACUCAGAUUCCCCAGUUCCCUAGACUAGGGGUGGCCCACUUGCUCAUCUCCCUCCAGCCACAUCCUAUAGCACCUGUGCCCACGGGCAAUAUGCAGGCAAAGUCCCCGGGACCUGAGCCCACUGUUGUAGGCAAAGCAGGGAGAUGCCUGGGGAAGGCCACCUAGAAGUGCCCUGGGUGAAAGCACACCUUCCCAAGUGCUCCUGUAUUUCUUAGAAAGGUGAUGGCUACAUCCACAAGGCCAAAACCAUUCGUUCAAGCGUCACUUAUUCACUGCGUCCUGUGUGUCAGGCACUGGGAAACAAAGCUGAAUAAAUGCUGGCCCCUGCCAUACAUGAACCCCACUGCUCUGUGCCCUCAGUCGAUCCCUCAAGGGCCUUGUCUGGUCCUGGAGUUCAAGUUCAACCUUGACCACACAGGACCUGGCAGAGUCCAACACACAGGAGGUGUUCGUGUCACUUCUGCUGCACGAAAGGAGUUCCGUCUAAUGGGGGAGGGAGGCCAGGCCACAACAAUUUCACUGGCCACCUACAGAGAGAACUAGAAAAACAAAGGAAGGGCAUCAAUUCAAAACGGGCAAGGUUGGCUCCCCAGAGGAGGUGCCACCUAAGCUGAGUUUGAGACAGAGAAGAAACAUCAAGGAGGAGGUGGGAGGAGACAGCGUUUGGCAGAAACAAGCUUUUCUCUGCCUAACUGCCACCUGCCGCCCUUUGCACAGCUGAUGGGUUUUGUUUUGUUUUGUUUCUUUUUAGGGCUGCACCUGCGGCAUAUGGAAGGUCCAGGCUAGGGGUCAAAUCAGAGCUGUGGCUGCCAGCCUACACCACAGCCACAGCAACACCGGAUCCUUAGCCCACAGAGUGAGGCCAGGGAUCAAACCCAUGUCCUCUUGGAUACUUGUUGGGUUCUUAACCCACUGAGCCGCAGCAGGAACCCGCACUGACAGGGUUUUUCCUCUCCCAGCGGAAAACAACCUUCAGGGGUCCCACAGAAAGGCCAGCGUGAGCCGUCUGUUCCCUUCACGAGAGCCACCUGUCUGGAGGGCCGGCGGGAACGCACCGUGGCCAUUCCUGCCUGGCUUGAUGAAAAAAGAGAGGGGGUCUCCUGGCUUGAUGAAAAAAGGGCAGUGACAGGAGGUGAAGAGAGGGUGGAGCAGGUCCUGGGAGGAACCACUUCCAUUCCCGGAAUUUUCUGCAGCUGAGAGCUGGGGCCAGAGUCCAUGGGGCCCAGAGGCAGCCUCUCCUCUGGCUCAGGUUAACUCUGAACAAAGGCACAGAGAGCGCUCACCCUGGAACCUUACGUGCCUCGGAUUUCAGAACAGGUGACGCGCCCACUCUUGGCACUUGGAGCUUAUAAAUCUGCCUGGAGCAGGGCCCAGGGCCAGCUGUGUCUCGCCCAGGGCAGAGAGUGUGCCCAGUUAAUCCAAACCCCUCACUUGGCAGGACAUGACCAGCCUUACUUAGCCGCCAGCCCCCUGGCCUCCCGGUCCUCAGCCUUAGCCUACGACGGCCUCCGGCUCCCCAGUCCUCAUUUCGCUUGCCUUCUGACCUUUGCACACCCUGUCCCCUCUACCCGAGACCCUGUCCUUAGCCCUGUUCCUUUAGCUGGUUAACCCCUGCUCCUCUUUCAGGCCUCAGCUUAGCAACCCCUGCUUCUAGAUGUUUCCUGUGAUUCCACCCCCAGAUCCAGGGGAACUGCCUCUACUCACCUCUUCUUUGCACCUCUGAGUCUGGAUUGGGAUCGCUGGACGGCGUGCUGGCCUCCCAUUAGGGCUCCUUCAGGGCAGAGACCAAGUCUCUUCCACCUUCGUAUCCCCAGCAGAGCAAGGCGCCAAGCCAC